rnacentral:rRNA from 1 species
CGUAGGGAGCAAGCGUUGUCCGGAUUCACUGGGUGUAAAGGGUGCGUAGGCGGGACAAUAAGUCAGUGGUGAAAUCUUACGGCUCAACCGUGAAACUGCCAUUGAUACUGUUGUUCUUGAGUUCGGGAGAGGUUGAUGGAAUUCCAGGUGUAGCGGUGAAAUGCGUAGAUAUCUGGAAGAACACCAGUGGCGAAGGCGGUCAACUGGCCCGAAACUGACGCUGAGGCACGAAAGCGUGGGUAGCGAACAGGAUUAGAUACCCUGGUAGUCCACGCCCUAAACGAUGAAUGCUUGGUGUUGGCCAGCAAUGGUCAGUGCCGGAGGUAACCUGGUAAGCAUUCCACCUGGGGAGUACGCUCGCAAGGGUG